GUGUCAACUCCGUUGAGAUAUGCUUUGAUUUCAGGUAUACCGGGUCCAGCUGCAGUCGGAGCAAAACACACACAGAGAACAGAAGCACUAGCGGUCAGUAGAAGAUUGACCCCGGCUAUAAAGAUGAACCCCAUCAGCCGGCAAUAUUCUCAGUAGCGAGGUUAAUGAGGGUGGCAAUUAUACCAGUUAGGAGUCCAACAAGGAAGGCAAGGAUCCAUUUCAAAAAUACAUACUGCAAGACUUGGACUUUGGUUCUGCUUCUCCAGUCAUGCAUAAACAGAUCGUUCUCAUUGAUCCUGCAUCAAACCAACUUCAAUUCAAUGUGAAGAAGAUCAACAUAAUAAGGAUUCAGGUUCUUCUUUUCGAUAAUGGAAAACUAGAAACGGGUUGUUCAAGUCGUUACUCGUAGUCCAAGCUCUCGAUAUGGGAGACUUUGGCUCCAACCAUAGCCAGUGGAGUGGAAGAAAGUGUCCGGUUUCUCUUGAGGAGGAGUGGUUGGUGGAGAGCAAUGCUCUCCGGAUCUCUUUCUUCUGCACCAGUUUCUUGCAUGGUUUGCGGAACUGCAGCUUCGGCGUAUUGGUUCGAGUGUUCCUCCAUCGGGCUCAUGGAAGCUGCAGAGCGAGAGAAACAGAGAGCUCUCAAACUCUGAGUCUGAAGUGAUCCAGCUACACGUAUUGACUAGGAUAUUAGAUUGCCUAGAAGCUAAGAACUGCUGGUAUCACGCAAUCCAUAUUUUCUGUAUAAUUAAAGAAACACGUAUAGAUAGACACUUGUUUGAUUUUG